rnacentral:rRNA from 1 species
CCUACGGGAGGCUGCAGUGGGGAAUAUUGCACAAUGGGGGAAACCCUGAUGCAGCGACGCCGCGUGAGUGAAGAAGUAUUUCGGUAUGUAAAGCCCUAUCAGCAGGGAAGAAAAUGACGGUACCUGAUUAAGAAGCCCCGGCUAACUACGUGCCAGCCGCCGCGGUAAUACGUAGGGGGCAAGCGUUUUCCGGAUUUACUGGGUGUAAGGGGAGCGUAGACGGCAGCACAAGUCUGGAGUGAAAUGCCGGGGCUUAACCCCGGAACUGCUUUGGAAACUGUGCAGCUAGAGUGCAGGAGAGGUAAGUGGAAUUCCUAGUGUAGCGGUGAAAUGCGUAGAUAUUAGGAGGAACACCAGUGGCGAAGGCGGCUUACUGGACUGUAACUGACGUUGAGGCUCGAAAGCGUGGGGAGCAAACAGGAUUAGAUACCCCGGUAGUC